CGAGUGAGGAAAUUACUUUCAGGGUCGUGGAAGUUGCACGCAGGAAAGAAGUGGAUAACUCCGCAGGUGUGGAUUAGCGGGAAUUGACGGACCGCUCAGAGGACUUGAAGUUAUUUAUCUCCAGCUUGUGUGAGGAUUUUGUGUGACUAUCUUGUGAGGUUGUUGUGAGGAUUAUACAUUUCCAUUUGUUAUAAUGUUGAAUUAUAAUUUGGUUUGUAAUAAUCGGUUUGACU